UUCAGUCAUCUUGUUGUGAAUUACCUGCUGGGGGAAAGUGGCCGGUGUGUGGGUGGAGUGUGAGAACAAGUGCUGAUUGAAAUGGUUUGGAUAAUUAUUUCCUUUGGCUGGAGAACCUUGAAUUGUGUUUUGACCCUGGCCUGUCCAAGAAGAACGAACAGAUUAGGAGUCCAAUGGAAGGAACUUUCUUCAAGAGAAAGAUAUCUAUCUACUGGUCCUAAGAUCGGUGUAGUAUUCUGCAGUCCAUGCCCUGGCCAGCUCACUGUCCUGUACAGAUCCUGAAUUCUACGUUUAUGUACAUGGUGGGAGGGAAAGCAGAGAAUCUCAGCUGGGAUGCAGGUUUUGAUUUCACCACCGCUCUAAACAUCAGAAUGCGCUAAUCCGCUCUUCCCUCGGGGAGUUUGGCUGGGGUGGAAAAUCGUGUCAAAAAAGUUGUGACAAUAAUUAAAGUGAUUUAAACAUGGCAGACCAAAACAAAUCCCAUUAGGCUGCAUUACAUAUUCAUAAAGUGCAUGUUAAAUCAAGCACAAAUUUGGAACGUGUAAGUGAGGUUAUGAGUACAACACUACUGACAAAAAAAAGAUAUCCUCUAUGAAACGCAUUCAAUCAGCACAGUGGCACAAUGAUAUGAAUUCCUAACCUGUGAUUAAAUGUUUUUAGAGCAGUUAAGGAAAUUUAAACUUGGAGCAAGGCCAUGUUUCUACAGCUCAGUCUGUUAACAAAAACCAAAGCAAUAAAAAUGGAAUAUAUUUCUUUAAGUUGCCAUGCAACCACUAAGAUAGAGGGGAUAAAAAGCCUAGAGCAGAAAAAAAAAAAUCAUGAGAAAAUGUGUACCUGUCUCAGUGUUUCAGUUUGCUGUUAUUCUGUGGAAUUAUUUGAAUUUUGAGAAGUGUGUCUUAUUGAAGUUU